rnacentral:misc_RNA from 1 species
AGGCUUUGAACUUUUCAUUUUUAUGACUCCUUGAACAUGCAAAUCAAAAUGCUCUAAGAUAAGCAUUUAGUAUCAUAUUGUUAUUUGUAACUUCUAUUGGUAACAUCCUUUAGCUUUGAUGGUGGGCCUGAGGUUCUCCUCUUCCUCCUUCCUAUUUGGUCUCUAGUCUUGUUAGACUAUUACAUAAUUCUGUAGUUUGUGAAAGUUGGCGUUUUUAUCUUUUUAUGUGUAGGUUAUUAGCAAGCUUGAAAGG